rnacentral:lncRNA from 1 species
AUUAGACCUGUGAGAGGGGCUGUGACAGUGGAACCCGAAUGAAGACAGGAAAAGUCUGUAGAGGACUGAUGGUUAUGUUCACCAUUCAAAUUGCAAGAAAACCAAUAAGAAGUCAGUAAAGUGCAUUCAAAGAGAAAGGUGGGACUCGUGAAGAGUCUCGCUCUGUCACCCAGGCUAGAGUGAAGUGACACGAUCUCGGCUCA